UUGAAAGGGUGGUGUAUUUAAGAA
rnacentral:piRNA from 1 species